rnacentral:lncRNA from 1 species
CUCCUACCUCAGCCUCCCAAGUACCUGGGACUACAGGACCUGCUGAAGAUGGAGAUGUGGGAGUCCAGUUUGGUGUCCUGGUGUGCGUCUGAGAGCAGCUGCUGAAUUGGGAUGUCUGGAAACACUUCUUGUAGGUUGGAGGCUGCUCCAUCUCUGGCUCCUGCAUGGGGCUGGGCACCCACUUGUGCUAUGAUAGUAGAAAGAAUGAGAUCUGGGAGGCAUCACAGAAGUGAGUUAAGGGAUGAAUCAAGGUCAGGAGAGUGGUUUCUUACAAGUUCGGCAGAGAAGGGUCAGCUAGAGUGUGCUGGGGAAGUUCUUCCCUGCCUUUGACUCAGUAGGUCAGGAUGGGACCACCGGUCUGGACUUUGCUGAGCUGUGAUGACUCCUAAGGAGCCGUGCUUGGUUGGUCUGCCCCGUGCUCAGAUCCAGAGGGACCCUCCCUCUCGGUCUAGCAGGAACACAGCUGCCCUCCCUUGACCAUGAACUCACAGUAGAGUGGAGAGGGGUGGCCUCCUUUACAGUUCCAGGUAGGGGGUGAUUCCUGGACAGGGGUUCCUGAGAGGAGUGGGUUGCCAUCCCAAGAAUGCACACAGCAGAGGAGCAGAAGGCCUCUAGCAUGGAGGAACUGGAGGAGAACCCAUUUGUGACAGCAACUUGCUCGCAAUUGGCCCUCAUGAGUACCAGCUACGGCGGUCUGCAUUUGUGCAGCUCCACAUCAAAAGCUGGGGCUGGAACCUUGGUCUCCAGGGGGUGAGGAAAAAGGUCAGUGUUUUAAUAGAACGCGGUAUUUCAACUCUUAGCAUUUUCCAAUUUGUGAAGUUAAUAACCCUUCCUCUCCCUUCUAGUGGGUCAGAAAAAAAUAAUUAGCAUGAACUGGGAUAGCAAGGGAGGAGCUUGUAAUAUCUGACCAAGGUUCUCCAUGCCAAAAGGUUUUUAUACAGCCUUAAGAAAAAUUUAAGCCUCCAUUGAAGAACCUAAUAGGCCUUUGGGAGGCCAAGGCAGGCGGAUCACCUGAGGUCAAGAGUUUGAGACCAUCCUGACCAAUGUGGUGAAACCCCGUCUCUACUAAAAAUAAAAAUUAGCCAGGCGUGGUAGCAGGCGCCUGUAGUCCCAGCUACUGGGGAGGCUGAGACAGAAGAAUUGCUUGAACCCCGGAGGCAGAGGUUGCAGUGAGUCUGAGAUCACGCCACUGCACUCCAGCCUGGGCAACAGAGUGAGACUGUCUCAAAAAAAAAAAAAAAGCACCUAAUAGGCCUUAUGGGAGCUUGUUCUCUACCAGUCACUGUGCUCAAGGUUUAAGUAAAGUGUCUCCUUUAGUACCGCAGCACAAACCACCUGGAGGAUAGGUGGGUCCUGUGUCCCUCCUGAGGAGGAACGGUGUCAGGAUUCAAGCUCCUGUCUGACUGCUCUGGGCGCUAGUCCCAACCCAACAAGACUGAGGUUGAGUGUCCCAUUUCUGGUGUACAGCCGCUUUGGGCAUCUCUGCGCUUAGGAGUGUGUGCCUUAUUCUUAAAAAGCAAGAUAACAGAGGCCCGGCGCGGUGGCUCACACCUGUAAUCCCAGCACUUUCGGAGGCCGAGGCGGGCGGAUCAUGAGGUCAAGAGAUCGAGACCAUCCUGGCUAACAUGGUGAAACCCCAUGUCUACUAAAAAUACGAAAAAAUUAGCCGGGCGUGGUGGCGGGCGCCUGUAGUCCCAGUUACUGUAGAGGCUGAGGCAGGAGAAUAGCAUGAACCCGGGAGGCGGAGCUUGCAGUGAGCUGAGAUCACGCCACUGCACUCCAGCCUGGGCGACAGAGUGAGACUCCGUCUUUAAAAAAAAAAAAAAAAAAAAAAGGCCGGGCGCGGUGGCUCAUGCCUGUAAUCCCAGCACUUUGGGAGGCCGAGGCGGGCGGAUCAGGAGGUCAGGAGUUUGAGACCAGCCUGGCCAGCAUGGUGAAACCCCAUCUCUACUAAAAAUACAAAACAUUAGCCAGGUGUGGUGGCGUGUGCCUGUAGUCCCAGCUACUCGGGAGGCUGAGACAGGAGAAUUGCUUGAACCUGGGAGGCGGAGCUAGCAGUGAGCCCAGAUGGCACCACUGCACUCCAACCUAGGCAACAGAGAAAGACUCCGUCUCAAAAAAAAAAUAAAGCAGGAUAACAGGAAAAGCUAUUCUGCGUUCCCCAGUCCUGGGUACUGUAGUUCAAAUGGGAGAGCAGGUCUCCACCCAGAGCCCCAGGGCACAACCAGCUACAGGGCCCAGAGGGAUGGCAGCAGCUGCUGGGUAUUUGAGCUGGUCUGAAAGGGUGGAGGUUUCCAGUGAUGUCACUCUCUGGCAGGAUUGUGGGGGGUGGCUUACGCCAGGUGAGUCUGUCUAUUGGUCCUGGUUAUGGGCACUUAUUACCAGGCAGUGGCGUAGGGGGUAGGGCCUGGAGUGAGGUGGGGAUUUUAAAGUGAGCAGAUGCCAGAGGUAGUGAGCCAACAGCAGGGCUGUGCUCUUGGCCCCCAGCAGAGCAUGGUUGUAUAGUAUCAGCUGAGGAUUGGUUCCAGGAUGAACCCCAAUACCCAAGUCCACAGAUGCUCACCCUUACUAUAAAAUGGUGUAAUAUCGGGGCCAGGGGCCGGGUGCGGUGGCUCAACCCUGUAAUCCCAGCACUUUGGGAGGCCAAGGCAGGUGGAUUACGAGGUCAGGAGAUUGAGACCAUCCUCGCUAACACGGUGAAACCCCGUCUCUACUAAAAA